rnacentral:lncRNA from 1 species
ACCAAAGACUUCCAUCAUCACACCUCCAAGCAUCUGAGACCUGGCAAAUGUUUAGGUUUUCUGGAAGCCUCACACACAAGGAUGUUCAGCAUUUAGCUACCGUCUCAGAGCCAGGAGCAAACACUUCUCAGGAAGCAGAGGCCCCAGCAGUCCCAUAUGUACACAGAACCAUAAUAUCAAGACAAGGAAGAUGUAAAUAGU